rnacentral:rRNA from 1 species
CAGUAGCCGCGGUAAUACGAAGGGGGCUAGCGUUGCUCGGAAUGACUGGGCGUAAAGGGCGCGUAGGCGGCGAUCAAAGUCAGGCGUGAAAUUCCUGGGCUCAACCUGGGGGCUGCGUUUGAUACUGGACAUCUUGAGUAUGGGAGAGGUGAGUGGAACUCCGAGUGUAGAGGUGAAGUUCGUAGAUAUUCGGAAGAACACCAGUGGCGAAGGCGACUCACUGGCCCAUUACUGACGCUGAGGCGCGAAAGCGUGGGGAGCAAACAGGAUUAGAUACCCCGGUAGCCCUGUCUCUUAUACA